GGUCGUCGACGCUGACGGCGUUCUGGCCUGCAUCUGUUGGCAACUAGCCCGGUGGAGACGGGGGCGUCCUCGUGCAGGGGAAGCAAACCUGUCUCUAGCUUCCUUCGUUCAGAGAAGAAGAGAGCCCCAGGUUUUCUGAAUGUUAGAAUGAGGAAAGAAAGUGAGAACCCCUAAUGUUUCUGAGUUAGGGCAAAGUGGUUUGGGCCUGGCUUUUGGGUCCACAUCCUAUCUUCCUGCCACCAUGCAACGCUAUUCGCACCCCCAUUCCAUUUCUGCAGACAAAGGAAGAAAAGGGCUUUAGGCCCAUUGGCCCGUAUUCUCUCUGCCUGUCGCCACCUCCGUUUCCUAUCCGCACUCCCUUUUCCCUUUCUGGCAAACAAUAAAAGAGGCCUUGGGCUUGGUCAACAAAAUAUUCAGUGGCACCCCCCAAUAUUCACAGUUGCACCCCUUUAUCCAUUUGGGCUUGGGUCAAGAAGUUUC
rnacentral:lncRNA from 1 species